GAGAAUCCCGCAGAUAUGUUGACCAAGGUGGUACCAAGGAACAAGUUCGAGCUAUGCAAAGAACUUGUCGGCAUGCACUCAAACUAGAAGACAGUGCUACCUCCUCUGGAUGAAUGAGACUGGAGGGGGAGAUUGAUGAUGUCCAUCUCAUUGAAGAAGUAUUAGGCAUGUGCCUAAUAAGAGUUUUCUUUGGUUUGGUAGCCAACCUAGUUGACUUGGUUUGGUUGGUAGCCAACCUUGUUGAAUUAGUUUGAUUUGGUAGCCAACCUUGUUGAAUUUCUUUGGUUUGGUAGCCAACUUUGUUGAAUUGUGAAAAGUGUGUGUAAAUUGUCAAAUAUUGUAGGCUUUAGAGGAUGAAGCUUUGGCUAUAAAAGGAGAGCUUCAACUCUCAUUUCUUCACACCAACAAAGAGAGAAAGAAAGAGUGAGGUUUCACAGACAAGGUAUAAGAAAAUAGUCUGUGAGGAAAAUAGAGAGUGAGCGAUAUUGUAGUGAGGUGGGAAUAUCAAAAGAGG
rnacentral:lncRNA from 1 species